ACAUAUAGAAAUCGUUGAAACUUAAUGGGGUUCUAAAGCAUUGAAGUGAUCUUUGAAAAAAUUGCAAUGAAAUAAAUUAACAAUGUAUAAACGUAACAUAGAAGUGGCCUGUGCGGUUGAUCUACCACGGCCUCCAAGCGGAGCUCGACUUUUCGAUGGCGCCAGCUAGGAAUUUCUUGGACGAGGGCUCGUCCAGGGAGCAGUCGCUGGACUCGGCCUCCGCCUCCCUGUCGCGCUUGGCGAUUCCGCUGGUGGAGCUCACUUGCUGUUGCUGCAAGUGGGCCAGCGGUCGCGAGCAUCCGCUGCUGUCGUGGCUUCCGGCACUCAAGUUGAGGGAUCCGCUGGUGUUGAAGGAGGUCUCCGCGCUGGUUGGUGGCGGAGUUGAGAAGACGCCGGCGAAACUGUGCUUGCUCAUCACAUCCACGGUGGGCGAGGCAGCCCGGGACUCCUCGCAGUGGCUGGAGAUGGAGGAGAUUGGGCUCAGCGGUGGGCUUGUGCUGUUCUUCACCGGCAGCUGCGUUUGGCCGGGCAGUGUGUGGAUGAGGUUUUCCGGAAGAUUGGCCGGAACUGAGGUAUUGACCGGUUUGCUGAACGCGCUCAUCCUGAAGCUCUGUGUAUAGUCAUUUAGAUGUGUGGGAUUGGCAAUGCUGGCCAAGGCGGCACUGGCUGUUCCAGCUGCGACUCCCGCUGCAGAUCCUGGCCAGGCAAAGGGUCCCGGAGGCGGAGCAGCGGAACCUGUGUUCGGCAUGAUGAGGGCAAACUCUCCCGAGGGCAGGCGGGAGGGAAUUAGCUGAAGUCCACCCAUUUGGAUGGCCGGAGCCGAUGACUCCGUGCGGCUGUUGUUGUUCAAGUCCUGCGGCAACGAGGGAAACAGCGGAGUGGGAGCAGCCGUGACAGCUGUGGCGGGAAACAAGCCACCACGGUAUCCAUUGCUGAAGUUGCUCAUCGAACCGAUCUGCUCCAGACUAUUGGCACACUGGUUAAGAUGGGCGCUGAGCCGCUGACGAACACCGGUAUCGAUGCCAUCCAUUUGGCUUACAUAGCGGUUCACCUCCUCCGCGCACUCAACGAAUCCCGUCUUGAACUUCUGGACAACGCUGGGAUCCGAUUGGAUGGCCAUGUUGAGCUGCUGGCGCUGCACCGACUGCAGAUGCUUCACCGUCAUCUCAAGUAUGUCGGCCUUCUCCAGUUUGGUAUGACGAGCCGGCUAAAAGUAUAGAAGACGAAGGAACCAAAGUCAGAUAAUGAUGAAAUGGGGAUGGGGUGGGAGAUGGUCGGGCUAAUUGUUUGGGGCCCUACAACAAGUUCAAUAGCUUGGGAAAAAGCGAAGUUAAGAAGCACGUUUCGUGCCUCAUAUGUCCAACUAUUCGCGUGUAAUCUGCAGUCCACUUCAGUCGAGUCCACUCUGUAAAUAUCACACGACCAAGGUGAGAUUCAGCAACUCCAGCGAGAAGAACGACUGAUCUUGCUACUGUGCACUGAGCAAAAAGGGGGCUUAAAG
ensembl:ncRNA asRNA:CR44275 antisense RNA:CR44275